AGGCUCUGGCUCAGACUGAACAGGUAGAGCCUCAGAAUGUUGUGGCCACAACUGCUGCAAAGGCUAAAGUAGCCACAAGCAUCCUAGAACGUGAGGGCAGCCAUCAUUGCCCAGCACAGUGCUGAACACUGGCAAGAAGACCAAGAAGGAAAGGAUCCAGGGCUGGAAAAUCCUGAGAUGGGACUGUGGUGGCCUGAGCUGGGAAGACAGCAGACGGUUCUCACCACAACAAACAGGUCUCAGCAGUGCACACUAAAUAGCCACUGCACGAAUGGGAGAGCCGCAUGGAACGCUGAAAACAGCAGCAGCCCAGAAGGUUCAGUCUAUGCUGUUCUCUGCUCCCUGUGUUCCUGACAGCAUUGAUGAUAUGCAGCCAUCUUCCUUACCCAGGAUGAGAAAUUGAACCAUCAAACAAACAAACAAACAAACAAACAAAAACAACCAACCAACCAACCAAACAAACAAAAAAAACUAUUCAAAUGUUCCACAUCCACUUUAUUUCCAGUCUAUUCAAGUGGGCCAUCUUCCUCAGUGGCACCCCAG